rnacentral:tRNA from 1 species
AGGGCAAUAGCUCAAUUGGUAGAGCAUCGGUCUCCAAAACCGACGGUUGGGGGUUCGAGUCCCUCUUGCCCUG